rnacentral:rRNA from 1 species
UACGUAGGUGGCAAGCGUUGUCCGGAUUUACUGGGCGUAAAGAGCGCGCAGGCGGUCGGAUAAGUCGAGUGUGAAAGCCCCUGGCUCAACCAGGGAGGGUCACUCGAUACUGUUCGACUCGAAGGCAGGAGAGGGAAGUGGAAUUCCGGGUGUAGUGGUGAAAUGCGCAGAUAUCAGGAGGAACACCAAUGGCGAAGGCAGCACUCUGGGACGUGACUGACGCUGAGACGCGAAAGCGUGGGGAGCAAACAGG